UACGUAGGGUGCAAGCGUUAUCCGGAAUUAUUGGGCGUAAAGAGCUCGUAGGCGGUUUGUCGCGUCUGCUGUGAAAACCCGGGGCUCAACCUCGGGCCUGCAGUGGGUACGGGCAGACUAGAGUGCGGUAGGGGAGAUUGGAAUUCCUGGUGUAGCGGUGGAAUGCGCAGAUAUCAGGAGGAACACCGAUGGCGAAGGCAGAUCUCUGGGCCGUAACUGACGCUGAGGAGCGAAAGCGUGGGGAGCGAACAGG
rnacentral:rRNA from 1 species